UGGUGGAGUGAUUUGUCUGGUUGAUUCCGUUAACGAACGAGACCUCCGCUUACUAAAUAGAGUUUGGUUUCUCACGAAACUAUAAAUCUUCUUAGAAGGACAUUUCGGUUUUACCGGAAGGAAGUUGGAGGCAAUAACA
rnacentral:rRNA from 1 species